ACGUAGGAUGCAAGCGUUGUCCGGAUUUAUUGGGCGUAAAGAGUUCGUAGGCGGUUUGUUAAGUCUGGUGUUAAAGAUCGGGGCUCAACCUCGGGACUGCAUUGGAUACUGGCAGACUGGAGUGCGGUAGAGGUAAGUGGAAUUUCUGGUGUAGCGGUGAAAUGCGUAGAUAUCAGAAAGAACACCGGUGGCGUAGGCGACUUACUGGGCCGUAACUGACGCUGAGGAACGAAAGCCAGGGGAGCGAAUGGG
rnacentral:rRNA from 1 species